UAAAGAAGAUAUUGUACAGACAAAUGGAGGCAUAUACCAUGUUGAUGGUGUGGAAGAAUUAACAUCAUUAAAAUGUCCAUACUACCUAAGGCAAUCUCUAGAUUCAAUGCAAUUUCUAUUAAAAUACCAGUGGCAUAUUUCACAGAUCUAGAACAAAUAUUC